rnacentral:rRNA from 1 species
AAGCAGAUAGUGAAAUUGUGUGCCUCAACCAUACACCCAUUAUCUGAACUGCUAAGCUAGAGUAUAUGAGAGGUAGCUGGAAUUCCUAGUGUAGGAGUGAAAUCCGUAGAUAUUAGGAGGAACACCGAUGGCGUAGGCAGGCUACUGGCAUAUUACUGACACUAAGGCACGAAAGCGUGGGGAGCGAACGGGAUUAGAUACCCCGGUAGUCCACGCCGUAAACGAUGGAUGCUAGCUGUUAUUCGUAUCGACCCGAGUAGUAGCGAAGCUAACGCGUUAAGCAUCCCGCCUGUGGAGUACGAGCGCAAGCUUAAAACAUAAAGGAAUUGACGGGGACCCGCACAAGCGGUGGAGCGUGUUGUUUAAUUCGAUGAUAAGCGAAGAACCUUACCAAGGCUUGACAUCCCUGGAAGGUCUCCGAAAGGAGACUGUGCCUUCGGGAAUCAGGUGACAGGUGCUGCAUGGCCGUCGUCAGCUCGUGUCGUGAGAUGUUUGGUUAAGUCCAUCAACGAGCGCAACCCUUGUGAUUAGUUGAAUAUUCUAAUCAGACUGCCUCGGUAACGGGGAGGAAGGAGGGGAUGAUGUCAGGUCAGUAUUGCCCUUAUGCCUUGGGCUACAAACACGCUACAAUGGCCGGUACAAAGGGCUGCCAACCCGCGAGGGGGAGCAAAUCCCAUCAAAGCCGGUCCCAGUUCGGAUAGCAGGCUGAAACUCGCCUGCUUGAAGUCGGAAUCGCUAGUAACGGUGAGUCAGCUAUAUUACCGUGAAUACGUUCCCGGGUCUUGUACACACCGCCCGUCAAGCCAUGAAAGUCACCAAUACCUGACAUCUGG